GCUAAACCUAUGUUGACGCUUAUACCUAUGAGCGCAGAAGAAGACACCCGACGAUCCAUGGAAACCGAACACACAACCAAGAGUGCCAGACUGUACCCAAAUGUGCGCUCUACAGGACUAACAGAAUCGUGAUGUUGUCGCUUGCUUGUAAUGCUUGUUAGCUGUUAGCCGCAGUUAGCUCAUGGUGCAGAGCGGACAGAGAGGGGAUGUUGAAGCAGGGCGGCAGAAGCUCGGCUCUGGAGCGGGCCGAAGCGGCGCUCUCUUCCCGCAGAGGCAGAGGGACAUCGGCCGCUGCACACUCCUCCACACCACGGGUGAUCUCGUCCCCGGAGUUGUCCGCCGAGCUCCUGUCCUCACACAGCGGGUCGUUCCUCCCACCUCCGACUGCUCAUGCGCCAAAGCCCAAGAACGACCCAGAUCCGGAGGUGGGUCGACCUUUGAGUUCUCUGAACACUGGAACGAACAGGUUCUUAAAGAAACCUGCAGCUACAGCAGCCCAGAAUCAGCCCAAGGAAAGAGCGGUGUCCUCCUCACUGCGAGCCUCUCAGCCUGCUGCUCUCAGUAGACUGGCUCAAGUUGAAGAGCGCUUUGGAAAGGGUGUGCAGAAGAGGAGUCCUUCCAGAGUCGGAAAGCCGGCUGUCCAGGAUGCCCCCGAAGAGCACGCGGUGUUAGCCCAGCCCAGGCGCUUUGUAAAGAGCGGGCCUCGGGGUGCACUCAGAGGGGAUGGACUACUGGGACGGUCCGAUUCAUCAGAGCGCAGUGCACAGGAGGAGGAGAAGCUCCACUCUGCAGCUCUCCUCUCUACAGUGUCGUCUUCACCUGUACAGGCCCAGACACCCCCUGACCUCUCCCCCUCUCCCCCCAGCCGCCUGUCGUCCUCUGCCGGCUCCGCUCGUGUUGUCGUGCGCUCUCUGGAGGAGCUAUUUUCUUUGGAUGAAGCCUCAGAGGACACUUCCAGAGAUUUUCAAAUCCAUCUAGGGGACAUAAAUGAGCUGGAGCUGGCUUCUCUACAGCUGGAGGAAGACGCAGGUGAAAAGGAAGUGCAGGUGGAUAUUCUGGAAGAGGAGCCGGAGGAGGAGAAAGAGGACUACCCGAGUGAUUUUGAGAGUGUUAUUCAGACGGAGAGCCUCUUGGAGCCCUCCCAGGACAGUGCCCAGGUGCCUCUCUCAGUGCACACCCAGGACAGUGCCAGGCUGCCCUCUCCUCCCAGCUCAGUGCACACCCAGGACAGUGCCCGGCUGCCCUCUCCUCCCAGCUCAGUGCACACCCAGGACAGUGCCCGGCUGCUCUCUGCUCCUCGUACAGAGGACAGUACCUGGACGCCCUCUCCUCCCCGCUCGGAGCGCAGUUACUCCAAAACCUCCACCAGUGCCACAUCUGAGGCCCGCUCUCCUGAAGGCCCUCUCAGCGACACCCCUCCACCUCGCGCCCGAAUCCCCUCCACAAAGAGCAAACGUGGACGGACCUCUCAUCAGCCUGCUCACUGCGUCUACAGUCCCUCCCUGCAGCUCCUGAUGGAGAGCCUCAGGCAGCAGCUGGCCCUGACCUCUCAGUUCAUCAGCAGCUCUCGUGAGCACCACGCCCGUGUCCUCCAGAACCUGGGGCCCCCCAACUACACAUACACCACCCUGCAGGACACUCAGGAGGUAUGUAUCAGUCUGGUAAAUGGUCUCACUUUGUAUUGCGCUUUUCCACCUGCAUUAGGCACUCUAAGCUCUUUUCCUAGCCUGAGAAACCAGCCUGACCUGCUCCAAGUACAUGAUACAUGGGAAGACAGUCUGGGAGCUGUUUGAAUCGGACAAAGCCUCCAGCCAAACCAGGCUGGACCAAUCACAGCGCAGGAGACAGGAGUUUGUGAUGCGUCACUGUCCGCUGCCGGUCAUGUGUGGAGCACAUGUCCUGGUGUUCAUUGCUCAGCUGCAACAUGUGCACCCAGAGCCUUGUAUGUAUGCAUUGAGAGGUUUUCAGCUCAUUUAUACUUAUAAAAUGGCUCAGACCUGGUUUCUGUGGAUUAUAUUUUCGGAAGAAACAAAGUGUCAGAUGCUAAAGGAUCAGAGCAGCUUUACCCCUUUAGUACCGACACCGUAAGUGUCUGAUUUAAUCAUUAUUAUGUAGUUUAGCUCUGAAAUGUAAG
rnacentral:lncRNA from 1 species